UGGCAGAAGUGAACAGCAUCAGAUGGAGACUUGAAACGCUUGACAGAAUUCCCUGGAGCAAAAACAGCAGAUGUGGAGAGGCAGAAAUUUCAGCAAGGAGCAUAGGAAGACUGGGCAAGCACUUUUGGGAAAACAGAGCCAGAGAUGGACAGAGUUUCUUAGCAGAGGGGAACCCUCCUGACUGAUGGAAUCCCACAGAGCCCUUUGGUUCCUGUUUUGAGCUUCAGUAUGAAUGCAUGCACUUGCUGGAAGCCCAGCCAAAUGAGAAGUAUAGAGGGAGCAGAUGUCCAAGACAUUUUAACUGUGGAAUGGAAAAAACAUCUGGACUGGAAAAGUGUUGUGGG